GAUUACGAACCCAGGCUAGAAAGAAAGAAGACCAGAAUCCUCCGCGGCAAUGUCUCCUCGCAGGACCCCAAAGAUAGAAGACACACUGGACACUCCUUACCCUUACCACCUCAUUCUCCUUCACCAGGGCACUUCAAGAAUUCAGGGUAUCUCAUGAAUCCUAACUUUAUAUGAGAAGGGAGAGACUCUUCAUCAAAGAACAGUAGCAUGGAUGAAGUGAACUUCUUUUCUCCGUCCACCAUACAGGUGAAAAUCAUCACUCCCCAAUCAGUCAACAAUCAAUCAUCAAUCAGAAGACACACCUCCUCAUAUUUCCUAAACCUAUCACAGUUCCUUCCCCAUGGUUUAAAAACCCCAUCAUUUGUUUGUUCUAGAGCUCAGCUCAGCUCAAGCUCAGCUCAAUCUCUCUGUAAAUGCCAUGUCUGUAGGUCUCUGUGUUUCACUCUCGCUUUGUGUCUUAACCUCUCUUUUGUUUAAGCACCUCAUAGCACUUUGUCAUCACCUGUGAGUAUUGUUUUUGGUUAUGGUGUUUGUGUUUGAUUGCUGGUGGAAAAGGGGGAAACCAAGACAAGUCGCCCAUGGGCAUACACUACCCGUAGGUGAACUUUGUUAAAUACACUAGUUAGAACUGGGCGGACCACCCACUGUAUUUUUGGUUAGUUAGUUAGCUGUUGUUAAAGUAGGCUAGUCUAGCUUAGGGGUGUUUUUGAAUACUUAAUGUUUCUUUCCUUGGGUCCAGCUCAGCCCCUUUUCCUGCUCCCCCCAUUACCGUGUGUUUAUAAAUAAACCUAGAGUUUGACGGUA